rnacentral:lncRNA from 1 species
AUAUAUAGUUUAUGAACUAUUUGCUUAUGAAUUCUCAUCGUAUUGUGCUUGUGGCAGAGUGAUCAACUUCAGGUUGUCAUAUCUCUUCUUUAAGGCAUUCCACAAGAUAGGUGGAUCUUUGACUGUGAUAUAUUCAAUUUUCAAACCUUCAUCAAGGUGAUGGCUCAAGUAAAUCAAGGCCUUAGCACAGUUUCAAACCUUCAUCAAGGCGAUGGCGCAAGAUAUCAAGGCCUUAGCAUAGUCUUGGGUGGAUGCAUUAUUUCUGUCUUUAAUGGCGUCUCCAAN